AAGAAAGUAAUAAAGGGCACAUGGGGGAUGCCUAGGCUCUCAGAGGCGAUGAAGGACGUGAUAAGCUGCGAAAAGCUAGGGGU
rnacentral:rRNA from 4 species